rnacentral:rRNA from 1 species
UACCAGCACCCCGAGUGGUCGGGACGUUUUAUUGGGCCUAAAGCAUCCGUAGCCGGUUCUACAAGUCUUCCGUUAAAUCCAGCUGCUUAACAGAUGGGCUGCGGAAGAUACUAUGGAGCUAGGAGGCGGGAGAGGCAAGCGGUACUCGAUGGGUAGGGGUAAAAUCCGUUGAUCCAUUGAAGACCACCAGUGGCGAAGGCG